AUUGAACGCUGGCUGCAGGCCUAACACAUGCAAGUCGACCGAGUGGCGGACGGGUAAGGAAUGUCUGAGAAACUGCCUGAUAGAGGGGGAUAACUACUGGAAACGGUAGCUAAUACCGCAUACCAUCAGAUGUGCCCAGAUGGGAUUAGCUAGUAGGUGGGGUAAUGGCUCACCUAGGCGACGAUCCAGAGCUGGUGUGAUGGGAUGCCCAGACACACUUGAACUGAGACACGGUCCAGACUCCUACGGGAGGCAGCAGUGGGGAAUAUUGGACAAUGGGGGAAACCCUGAUCCAUACCUCCCGCGUGUAUGAUGAAGGCCUUCGGGUUGUAAAGUACUUUUGGCAGAGAAGCGGUAUCUGCAGAAUAAGCACCGGCUAACUCCGUGCCAGCAGCCGCGGUAAUAC
rnacentral:rRNA from 1 species